CAUUAAACCAACAAUAUCAUCUUUUUCAUCUCUCAAAAUGAUUUUUAUCCAUCAAUGCUCUAAUUUUCUUCUUCAACCUAAAUCUAUAUCAGUUUUUCAUUUUUUUCUUCUCUUUUUCACCUUCUUUUAAACAUAUUUUCCCCUUUUUUCCAGGUUAUAGAAAGAUUAAAGAUGCGGAGAAGUAAACGCGUAUAAAAAUAACAUCAACAAUAUAUGUGAAAAAUCGAGACCUACGUUUGACCUGAUUUUUUAUUCUUAAUGUUUUAGGUGUUGUUUUAUGCUCAUGAGGUUUUGGGUUUCUUCAACACAAAAUCUAGAAAAUAUUGUGGAUGACAUUUUGGAUGUGGAGUUAAUAACAAAUAUGAAGUUUAUCAUCAAACUCAGAAGUGUUUAUUUUGUGAGUGCAACCUCCUGCUAGAUGUAUUUUGUAUGAUGUCAAAACUAGCAUACUUUAGAGUUUAUGUAUAUUGGAUGGUAUCUCUCUAAGUCUUAAUGUGCAUGUUAGUAUUAUGAAGCAUAAAAACAUUUUGAAAUUAUUUAGAAAAAGUUUCAUGUAUUAAAAAUAGGUUUUUAUGGGAAAAAUAGUCUAUGUGUCGACACAUACGUCAUAUAGGUCAACACAUAGAAGAAAAUUUUUCCUAUGUGUCGAUACAUUUAAGUCAUUUUUAAAGCAUGUAGCUUUUGUUUGAUGUGCCGACUGUAUGUGAUGACACAUGACCUAUAUAAGGCGACACAUGACCUAUACAGGUCGACACAUGCAUUGAAUGUGUCGACACAUGACUUAUAUAGGUCGACACAUGCAACAUAUUUUUUCAAAAAUUCAUGAUUUUUUCAUAUCUUUUGCAUUCUUUUUGCCUUCAACUUGCAUACAUAUAAAUAAUUCAUACAUGCAUCAUUUCUUUUAAGUGAUUUUGAGAAAAUCACAAACGAACUCAGGAUUUCAAAGAGUGCUCAUCAUCUUCAACCUACAUUCUAUUGCAUACACACAAACAAACUACACAUAAUCAUUCUUUGUUUGGGUGUCAUUUAGAAUCAGUGUUGAUAACGUCAAUUUAGGUUGUUGAAUUGUAAAUUGGAUUGAGAUCUUUGAGGGUUUCAAAUAAGAAAACCAAGUUGGGGUUUUCCUUCAAGAUCAAAUAAGGAUUUAAAGGUUUUGGAUAAGAUUACGUAAUUUGGAUCUGAUCGAGUGAAAGCUUUGAAGAACAGGAGUUUCUUGUAAAGGAGUAGCGUGACACGGUGCAUCAUAUUGGUAAAUCUUAUGUUAUAACAAUUCAUAAUUUUGAUUCGAUCGAGUGAAAACUUUGAAGAAUGUAUUAUUCUUGCAAAGGAGUAGGGUGAGACAGUGGAUCAAAUUGGUAUUGUUGGGUGACUUGAUCAAGCUCAGAUCGAGGAAAGAGAAAGUGUUAUAAUCAACAUCAAACAUAGGGUUUGUAGGAUUGGAUUGUUACAUUUCUCUUGUAAACUAAUUUUGUAAAGCAAGGUUAAAUUUCAUUAUCUCAAUUCGAGUUUGAAUUGAGGGCAUACAUACUCAUAAUGAGACCGAUUGGAGAACUACCUAAAUUGGUGAGAUCAAUGGUGAAUCUGUGUGAAAUUAACACGUCCAUGUAUUAACAUUGAUGUGUGAUUUAUUUCUAGUCAAUUUGGGUGUUCUUGGUGUGAAAUUGGUGCUUCAAAAGAGCUCCAAUGGCAGAAAAUGCGUUUAUGUGUUCUGCACAGGGGUGUCGAUCGUGACAUGCGUGACGAGUAACCCGUCUAGUGAGGCCCUUUAGGAGGAGGAGUCAAAUCUGGUGUAUUAUACUCGAUAUGCUUCUAUUGUUCUUGUCAUUGGCGAUGCCUUCCUAUUUGAACAACGAUGCAAGGAGAAACGGUAGCGGGAUGCGUACCUGCAGGAAAUAUAGAAGGCCUAUAUUUUCUUUACAAGGAUAAUUGAUGCCUUGCGUGCCAUCAAUCUCCCUGGUGAGAGGUGUAUCAAGGAAGGAUAAAGCUAUGACUUAUGUGAGAGCCAUUUUAUCUGCUACUCAGGCGUACCUUUCUUCAGUUCAAGGAGAUAUUGAAAACUUUUGCCUUCAGAAUGUCUCCCUGACUCAAAGUUUAAAUGAAUCAUUUAUUGCUAGUAUCAUGGUCGUCUCAGAGUCCUUUGAGAAUGACUUGUAGAAAGUAGAGCACUUUCACUCCCCUUUGAGUAUUUCUAGGAACAAGUAAGGUCGAACCAGAUGCUUAAAGAUAGGAAGAUCAUCUCCCUUAAGGAUUAACGAUCCUUUUUCCUUUUUGUGUAUCACCCUACACUGUAGAGCGUGAGUGAAAUGAAAUAGAUAUCGUGUCAUUAUUUUUACCUGUUUAGGGCAUAUGUAUUUGAUCCCGAGUAAAUUGCUCUGGAAUUUGAGUGAACUUACGAGGUUUCCCCUUAAAGUUUAUUGGAUA